rnacentral:rRNA from 1 species
UACGUAGGGUGCAAGCGUUAAUCGGAAUUACUGGGCGUAAAGCGUGCGCAGGCGGUUUUGUAAGUCUGUCGUGAAAUCCCCGGGCUCAACCUGGGAAUUGCGAUGGAGACUGCAAGGCUAGAAUCUGGCAGAGGGGGGUAGAAUUCCACGUGUGAGGCAGUGAAAUGCGUAGAGAUGUGGAGGAACACCGAUGGCGAAGGCAGCCCCCUGGGGUCAAGAUUGACGCUCAUGCACGAAAGCGUGGGGAGCAAACAGG